rnacentral:rRNA from 1 species
UACGGAGGGGGCUAGCGUUGUGCGGAAUUACUGGGCGUAAAGCGCGCGUCGGCGGACCUGCAAGUCGGGGGUGAAAGCCCGAGGCUCAACCUCGGAACUGCCUUCGAUACUGCGGGUCUCGAGUCCGGGAGAGGUGAGUGGAAUUCCUAGUGUAGAGGUGAAAUUCGUAGAUAUUAGGAAGAACACCAGUGGCGAAGGCGGCUCACUGGCCCGGUACUGACGCUGAGGCGCGACAGCGUGGGGAGCAAAUAGG